rnacentral:lncRNA from 1 species
CAUGGUUCUAAGCCUAAUCCUCUCUGGUCCUGCCAUAUCCUUGGGGUUGGGAAGAUUCAGAAGUACAGUAUCCCUAAACACAUCAAAGGAUUUCCUUUGUUUAAUCAAUAUCAUCUAUUACACUUUGGGUAUGAAAGUUCAAGCCAGUGACAGAUGAACGCAGGCAAUAGAUUAAGCAAUCCUGCAGUGCUGUGAAUACCGGUAGGGUCCUGGAACACCAUGGAUGUCAUCAAUAGGUCAUAGAUCCCUGCGGAGGCCUUAGUGAUAACUGGUAUCAUACCAACCAGGGUAUCAUACUGAGUGUUACGAAGGACAGUGAUCUGGUGAACAGAUAGUGUCUUAUUUGCUUUUGGGGGGGGUAUAUACAUUUAAUUUCUUAUCUUUACUAAUAAUUCUCUGAGAACAGUCUCAGACUCUUACUUGAUAUCAGCAAUUCUGCAAAGAGUUGAACCAUGAAACAUAAAGAGAAGAAAAAACACCAGAAGAAGAAACUCUUAAAACGACCCGUGAAAAGGGGUACAAGAGGAAAGUUGGAUUUACAAGAUGUUCUGCAGGGUAGAGCCAAGGUACUGGCCCAUACUCAAGGCCACAAAGUGGCGGAUAGUUCUUCCUCAACCUCAGGGGACUUCUCCUAUGAAGACAAAUUCUUGGAUGCAGAAUUGCACGACUCUCCAGAGGAUACCGCUGAGACUCACGAGAUGGUCCCAAGUUCAAAUUUGGAUGCAGGAGAGAAUUGCUCAGUCUCAGAACAUUCGCUGUGCAGCUCUUCUUCAAGCGAGUGCAUUCCUAUGGACGAGGGUGGUCCUGGAUCCUCCAAGAGGCUUUUAAAUCAAGAUUUGAUGGAGAAGGAGAAUUUCUCCUUCAUGGCACAUUCUCAUUUACCUUCCUCCUUGGCCAGUAACCCCUUAGAGUCUGCAACAUCUACUAAAAAGAAAAGAGUCCUGAAUGUUUACUAUCAGCCUGUCCCAAUGAAAAGGGGUACGGCUUCCUUGGGGGAUACAGAAGAUGAUUUGGAGCCCCCCGCAAAGAUGACAAGAAUAGCAAAAAUUACCUUUCCUGAGAAGAUCCCUUCAAAAGCCAGCCUCUCUUCUGUGUGCCUAAGAGAUGUCCUAACUGACGGUGAAAAUGGCCUGCUCC